rnacentral:rRNA from 1 species
CACACCGCCCGUCACACCAUGGGAGUGGGUUGUACCAGAAGUCGUUAGCUUAACCGCAAGGGGAGCGAUGACCACGGUAUGAUUCAUGACUGGGGUG